ensembl:lincRNA RIKEN cDNA 4930558J18 gene
GGAGGAAGGACGUUUGUGGUUGGUGGACUUAGCCCCGGCCGGGAAGUUCGAACGGACUUGGGAGAGCCAGCAGGUUGGGCCCAUGCGCAGUAGCAGAUGCUCAGGUUCGGAGUUUCCUCUGGUUCUGUAUAAAAGCUUUGGUUGACUGAUUAGUGAAGUAAUCAUAUGCUGAAGGGAACAGGAAGUACUUGUGUUUAGAAAAAAAAAGAAUAAUUGCAGCAAAUGCUAAAUAUCUCAAAGUAACCUUAGAAUCUCUAAGAUAGUUGAGGCCUUUGAGAAAUACAAAAGAAGAACCGAAGAGCAAAGAAACAAGCUGAAGCAAGGAGAACGCCACACUCCCCAGUCCAAGAUUUCUGCUGCCCUACAGGAGACAUGUUCUUGGGAAAGCAGCAUCUCUCUCUCUCAAUUCAUCGUUAGAGACAAUACACUUCUUGUUUCAUCUCCCAAAGCUGAUGUAUCCACACCACUCUCCAGUGCACUGUUUGGCAUCCCUCUGCCUCUGCAUGAGUUACAGAUGGGAAAACAGAAAUUAGAGUUCCCUGCAAAACUAACAAGACUAUGAAUGGAAAUGGCCUGAAUACGAAUCUUCAUUCUUCGUUUUACCAGCAAAAUGGCCAGGGACCAAAUAACCUUUCUGAGCCUCAGUUUCCCCAUAAUGAAAGUCAUCAUAGUAUCUGUUUUGUGUCUAACAAAACCCAUAAUUUAAAGCAGUAAUGUUUAACAUGUACUCUUAAGCAAAAGUAAUUCUUUCCUGUCAUGAACAUUUUAACAUUUUCUAGGAUCCAAUGUUUUAAAAAUGUGUUUUUCUUUGUCUAGGGAAUUCUAACUAUACAUAGCACGAUGGAUAAUUUUCAACUUGAUAGGACCUAGCAUGGUGGGCAUGGGAGGAGGCUUUUGGGUGAGAAUUGUGUUGACUUUAUUGAGGUGGGAAGCCCUUCUUACUGUGGGUAGUUCCUUCCCUGGCAUGCCUUCUGGAUUGUGUAAGUGGAGAAAGUGAGCUAGGCACAGGCAAACUUGGCUCCAUCUUCCCUGAGAGUGGAGCCGUUGCUUCAGUCAAGCUUCUGCUGACUUGCCUUCCCACCGUCGUGGACUCCACUUGGAGCUGAGAGCAAAACGAAAUGCUUUCAUCUGUGAGGCGCUUUUGUCCGUGUGUGUUAUCAUAGUGGCGAGAAGAAAAAGACACAGUACGAGCUGCUUCUUCGAGGAGAGCCCUAAAACUGUUUCCAGAUCUUUGGCGUUGGCUUUACCUGCAGGCAGUGAUUUGAAUGUUAUUAGCUUAAGGGAGGGAGACUGCUAAACUCCAGUUUGUGUUAAAGGCACCUGAUAGGGUGGAUUCCUAAUGCAGCAGUGGCUGGCUGGACAAGGGGAGUAACCUCCACCAUGUUUAGUACUGGCAGAUGAGUCAUGAGAGCUGCCUUAGGGUUCCAUUGCUGGGGAGAGACACCAUGACCAAGGCAGCGCCUAUAAAGGCAAACAUUUGAUUGGGGCUGGCUUACAGUUUCAGAGGGUCAGUCCAUUAGCAUUAUAUUGAUAAGCAGGGCAGCAUGCAGGUAUACAUGGUGCUGGAGGAGCCAAGAGUUCUACAUCUUGAUCUGAAGGCAGCUAGGAGGAGGCUCUGAUUGACACACUUCCUACUCCAACAAGGCCACACCUCCUAACAUUGCCACUCCCUAUGGCCAAACAUUCAAACACAGGAAUCUAUGGGGCCAUAUCUCUUCAACCACCACAGACACUCUCACUGGCCAGGUCUAGGAGACCUUUAAGUGACCAAGUUUGUUGCCUCACUGUUCUCUAGCUUCCCAGUGAUUCUCUGGGUUUCCCUGUCUUUGAAUAAACUUCUUUUCUGUGCACGC